rnacentral:rRNA from 1 species
GACGAACGCUGGUGGCGUGCUUAACACAUGCAAGUCGAACGGAAAGGCCCUGCUUUUGUGGGGUGCUCGAGUGGCGAACGGGUGAGUAACACGUGAGUAACCUGCCCUUGACUUUGGGAUAACUUCAGGAAACUGGGGCUAAUACCGGAUAGGAGCUCCUGCUGCAUGGUGGGGGUUGGAAAGUUUCGGCGGUUGGGGAUGGACUCGCGGCUUAUCAGCUUGCUGGUGGGGUAGUGGCUUACCAAGGCUUUGACGGGUAGCCGGCCUGAGAGGGUGACCGGCCACAUUGGGACUGAGAUACGGCCCAGACUCCUACGGGAGGCAGCAGUGGGGAAUAUUGCACAAUGGGCGGAAGCCUGAUGCAGCAACGCCGCGUGCGGGAUGACGGCCUUCGGGUUGUAAACCGCUUUCGCCUGUGACGAAGCGUGAGUGACGGUAAUGGGUAAAGAAGCACCGGCUAACUACGUG